AGCGCAGGCGGUUGCUUAGGUCUGAUGUGAAAGCCUUCGGCUUAACCGAAGAAGUGCAUCGGAAACCGGGCGACUUGAGUGCAGAAGAGGACAGUGGAACUCCAUGUGUAGCGGUGGAAUGCGUAGAUAUAUGGAAGAACACCAGUGGCGAAGGCGGCUGUCUGGUCUGCAACUGACGCUGAGGCUCGAAAGCAUGGGUAGCGAACA
rnacentral:rRNA from 1 species